UAAGGAAUAUUGGUCAAUGGUGGGAACACUGAACCAGCCAUGCCGCGUGCAGGAAGAAGGCGUUAUGCGUUGUAAACUGCUUUUAUACGGGAAUAAAAUGCUUUUGCGAAAGUUCUUGAAGGUACCGUAUGAAUAAGCAUCGGCUAACUACGUGCCAGCAGCCGCGGUAAUACGUAGGAUGCGAGCGUUGUCCGGAUUUAUUGGGUUUAAAGGGUGCGUAGGCGGUUUUAUAAGUCAGGACUGAAAUUUGGUUGCUUAACAAUCAGACUGGUUUUGAUACUGUGGAACUUGAAUAGCAUUAAGGUAACUGGAAUUUAUGAUGUAGCGGUGAAAUGCAUAGAUAUCAUAAGGAACGUCAAUUGCGUAGGCAGGUUACUGGGUGUAGAUUGACGCUGAGGCA
rnacentral:rRNA from 1 species